CCUAACUCCAGUUGCCACCUUAUGGCACCUCUAAGCAUCUUCUCACCAAAAUGAGCGAUGGUUUUAUUUUGCUUUAAUUUCUGUGUAUUACAUUUAGUUAAUUUCCUUCAUAAUGCAGAAUUGCGCCAGUGAUCCUGACCCCAGUGGCUCUUUACUCCUGAAACACUACUACGACUAGCGACAUUAUAUUGUGCUUGUACUAGCUUGUUUUAACGACUAGCAGGUUUC